CGAACGGGUGGAGUAACACGUGGGCAACCUGCCCAAAANAGGGGGAUAACACUUGGAAACAGGUGCUAAUACCGCAUAACCAUAGUUACCGCAUGGUAACUAUGUAAAAGGUGGCUAUGCUACCGCUUUUGGAUGGGCCCGCGACGCAUUAGCUAGUUGGUGGGGUAAAGGCUUACCAAGGCAAUGAUGCGUAGCCGAACUGAGAGGUUGAUCGGCCACAUUGGGACUGAGACACGGCCCAAACUCCUACGGGAGGCAGCAG
rnacentral:rRNA from 1 species